GCAAUAACAUAGGGGCAUUUUGCGCAACUGUCACGUAAAAAAGCGACUUUACUAACUUUUAAUUUCCAAGAUAAUACUGAAAAAUAUUAUGGGCUAAUACCAGAUUUUUUUGUUCAGGCCUAUUUGUUUGUCCUUCAAGCACAUAAUGACGCUUUUAAUCCUAGCCGCUUCCGAUCAGAUUCCUGUAACGCCUUCUCUUUCCCAUUAAUUUUCUCCUUUAAACAGAGUCGGACCAUAAACAUCUUCAUCCCAUUCGCUGCAAUGCAUCAUUAAUUCGAGCUCAGACUCUUCGUUACCUAACCGGCGAAAGGGUCUCUUCAUACGCUUAGACAAAUUUCAUGAUUUUUUUGGUGAUAUAUAUUUUUUUCAGAUUUGGUUUCGUCGAGUCGCGACUUGGGUUCGUGCUUUCAGUCCGAAGAAAGAACAAGAGCUGAUCGGCAGCGUUUAUUCAGGAACCAUAUCAUACAAUGCUCGUUUCAUGUUUCCUGGCAAGAACUACUAGAUUCUCUUUCUCAGAAGCGACUAUUUUUCUUCAGGGAUAUCAGCUUCUGCAUCGAAUGGAUCCUUUUAUUAAUCAGGUGUUGGCUGAAGAACACUUCUGUAGUGAAUGUGCAAACUAUACAACGGCAUCACUUAAUUAAAAGGAUGUAGGAAUACCAAAGGCAAGUUGACCGAGAAAUAUGAACUCAACUGAUUUUUUAGCAGGGGAUGGCAUGAGAAUACCUUUUGUACUGAAGCGUACUCAUAUCUUUAUACUGUUUUUGGCUUACUCAUAUUUUAUACUGUUUUGUCUUAUAGAAUACAUUAUCUUAAAGAAAAAUAAAUGAAACAUUGUCGUUUGUGGUUUGUAACACUGAAACAAUUUAUCAUAUAUCAUUAUUUAAGAUA